rnacentral:rRNA from 1 species
AGUGAGCGCUGGCGGUAGGCCUAACACAUGCAGGUCGAACGGCAGCACAGUAAGAGCUUGCUCUUACGGGUGGCGAGUGGCGGACGGGUGAGGAAUACAUCGGAAUCUACUUUUUCGUGGGGGAUAACGUAGGGAAACUUACGCUAAUACCGCAUACGACCUACGGGUGAAAGCAGGGGAUCUUCGGACCUUGCGCGAUUGAAUGAGCCGAUGUCGGAUUAGCUAGUUGGCGGGGUAAAGGCCCACCAAGGCGACGAUCCGUAGCUGGUCUGAGAGGAUGAUCAGCCACACUGGAACUGAGACACGGUCCAGACUCCUACGGGAGGCAGCAGUGGGGAAUAUUGGACAAUGGGCGCAAGCCUGAUCCAGCCAUACCGCGUGGGUGAAGAAGGCCUUCGGGUUGUAAAGCCCUUUUGUUGGGAAAGAAAAGCAGCAGGUUAAUACCCCGCUGUUCUGACGGUACCCAAAGAAUAAGCACCGGCUAACUUCGUG